rnacentral:rRNA from 1 species
CUUGAUCAAAUAUAAGAGGUCCAGCCUGCCCAGUGACCACUUAAACGGCCGCGGUAUCCUAACCGUGCAAAGGUAGCAUAAUCAUUUGUUCUCUAAAUAAGGACUCGUAUCAACGGCAUCACGAGGGUUGUACUGUCUCCCCCCUCUAAUCAGUGAAACUGACCUCCCCGUGAAGAGGCGGGGAUUUUUAUACAAGACGAGAAGACCCCAUGGAGCUUUAAACCCAAUAAUACUCUCUCACUAUAUACUCCAUUUAAGUUAUAAAGUUUUUAUCUAUUGGUUUUAGGUUGGGGUGACCACGGAGUAAAACAUAACCUCCUUGACGAACGGUCUUAUCCUAAUCCAAGAGCUACUGCUCUAAGAAUCAAAAAUUUGACGUAAUAUGAUCCGGCAACCGAUCAACGAA